rnacentral:lncRNA from 1 species
CGCCCCUGUCCAAUUGUGUGAUGUUUACUUUUCUUGAUUUUUCGAUCAAUGUGGUGCAUUGUUUGACAGAUUCAAACAGAAGUGAAGCAUUGAAUUGGGAGAAGAGAUUGCAAAUAAUUAUAGGAAUAGCAGAGGGAUUGGUGUACCUCCAUGAGAAAGCACACACAAAAAUCAUCCACAGAGACAUAAAAGCGAGCAAUAUACUAUUGGAUUCCAAAUUAAGUGCUAAAAUCGCAGAUUUUGGGCUGGUUAGAUCUUUCAAUGAAGAUAAAAGCCACAUCAGCACAGCCAUUGCCGGAACUUUGUAAGUAUCUUCAUAAUUUGUUUUAAUUUUUCAAAUCCGAAAAAGAUACUCCCUCUGUUCACGAGAAAUUUGUCACAUUGAGAACAAUGCGAAUUUUAAUAAAAUGUGAUUAAAGUUGUUAGUGAAGUAAGGGCCGCACGGCACUUUAAGUGUGAGUGGAGUUGUGUGGAUCCCACUACUAUAAAUGAAAGUGACAAAUUUUUCGUAGACGAAAAUAGUGAAAAAUAGUCACUCUCGAUAAUGAAAUGUCAGGGGAUACUUGGCCCCUGAGUACCUCGCCCGCGGACAAUUGACUGAGAAAGUGGAUGUUUAUAGCUUCGGCGUGCUUUUACUUGAGAUCGUCACCGGCACACAGAACAACGGAAGUCAGAACUCUGAGCUCGUAGACAGCAUGCUAACUCAAGUAAGUGUCUACUAUUUUUCCAUUUUCAUCAGUUCACGAAAUAUUUUUCUAUUAUCACUUUUUUUAAUUUAUGGGACCCCUUCUUUACUCACCAAAUACAUAACUAUUUUUUUUUUAAAAAUCAUGUCGACUUCUAUUGGAAAGAUGUUUUGUGAAUGGAGAAAAUAUUAUUUAAUACUACAUAGUUAUGAGUUAUAGUUUAUGGCCUGACCUUUAAUACAAGUUUUUUGAAAAUGAUCCUGACUUUCAAAAUUUUCAAAAAUAAUAGUAUGACGUUUGGGGGAAGUUUCAAUCAACCCUAAUUUAAUUGAGGGUGAAUUACUAAAAUGUUUCAAAAGUAGCACUCCCUCCGUCCACAAAUUAAAGCACCAUUUGAGGGUGGGCACGGAGACUAAAAAAGCUGAAAAAUGUGUUGUAGAUGAAAUAUAAGGGUAGUUGACUGAAGUGAUAAAGUGGUUGACUAAAGUGUUAAAGGUGUUGUGUGGUGGGUCCACUAGUGAUAAGGUGUAAUAAAUAUAGAAUAUAAAAAUGAUAAAGUUGUUGUAAGGUGAGUCCAUUAGUGGCAAAGUGUAGUAAAUAUAGGAAAAGAAGAAGAGUAAAAAGAUACAUAAAGCACAAUAGGGCUUUAAUUGAUGGACAAAAAUUUAAGUGUAAGUAGGGCUUUAAUUCGUGGGAGGAGUGAGUAUCAAAUUUGCAAAAUUUGAUUACAAGUGAAGAGAGUUUUCGAAAUUGGGCCCUUCCUGUUGUAGGUCGGGCUGGGCCAUGCUUUUUUAAGACCCAACUGUUUGUUUUUGGGCUACCAAUCUCCCUUGGGCCCGACUAGUCAAAAAGUGAUGAUUUAUUUGAUAAUUAACUCUUGGAAUAAUAAUAAUAUCAUCAACUAUAAUUUCUAAUAUAGUAUUUGUUAUAAUCCAGGCAUGGAGGCAUUUCGAGCAAAGAAUAAUUGAUGAGCUCAUUGAUCCAAACCUAAUGCCACAUGAUAAUAAUGACAUAAAAAAUGAGAUCUUACGAGUCUUUCACGUAGGGCUAUUGUGUAGCCAAGAAGUGCCGUCGCGGCGGCCAUCCAUGUCCACGGCGUUGACGAUGCUGAUCGGGAAACAACACCUCCCAACACCGACGAGCCCUCCAUUCGUGGACGAGAUAACUAUGCAGCUAGAGGAGGAGGACCCGAGUCGGGGCACAUCGCCAAUGCUCGGUUAUAGCAAUGCCACUAUAUCUCGGAGCAUUUUUCUUCCGAGAUAGUAGUGCACAAUGUAUGCUAAAGAUUUCACCUCACUAAAAAAUAAUUAAUUAUUUGUUUUUUUUUAGAUGGGGUUCAGCCUACCUCGGGUAUGCCAUUAAUGCUAAUGACAUUGUGUUAUCGAGAGUUAAAACUAGAGAAGCAAAUCAUUUGGUAGUAAUAUUCGUAAAUACUUCCUUCAUCCCACUGUAUCUGAGACUCUUUCAAUUUUGGGCGUUCCACUGUAAGUGAGACUCUUUCCUUUUUGGGUAAAAGUUUUUCCCUUUAAACACCUUUUCACUUUUUCACCGACACAUAAAAUACACUUUUUUUAAUUCCCGUGCCCAAAAAAGGUCUCACUUACAGUGGGACGGAAGGAGUAAUUACAACUAAUCUUUUAUGUACUUUAAUAAAAGAGACUUGUUUUUAUAAAAAAUAUGUUGCUUGUUAUGUUAUUAUGUUUUAAUCUAAUUCAAGGACAACAAUGUAAUAUCAUAUUUUUAUUAAAAUAAAUUGCAAAAAAGCAAUUAAAAUUGUGUGUAAACACGCACCACCCAUCGUCCAGCAUUGCAUCAGGGGUGCACCAGUGCGGCAGUAUGCGACCGCCUCCGGCGCGCCCUAUCGAAUCAGCUCGGCCACCCCCAAUUGGAGGUGCUCUAAGAGUUGAAAUUCAAAACUUGCAACCCCAAACCAAAAACAAAAUUUUAAUUUUCCACAAUUUUAAAUUAAAAUUCAUCUAAAUUAAAUUUGACUUGACAAUAUGAUGGUUGAAUAAACUUAAAGUUAAGCAAUCUUUACAUUCCAAUGUCCCAGUCAUCCAAGGUCAGCUCUUCCAAGUCACCCAUAGUUUGUUUUUUCCCUUCGUAUUGUUACAUUUUAUAAUUUUAAAAUUUAUUUUAUAAAAUUACCUCAUCAUAUUUAGAAAAAAAAAUUCCAUAAUUAAUUAGAGUCAUCUAAAUCUAAGAGCAUCUCCAGCGCUCGUUGCGAGCUCUGGAUCGACGCGGGACGAGGAGGCGGCGUGCGCGCUGGCGACCAGGGCAGAUGCGAGGCGGCGUCGAAGGCAAGACCCGGGGAGAGCGGCAAAGGCGUAUGGCGCGUCCUUCGGACGCGUCCAAUUUAAAAAAAAAAAUAUCGAAAAUCGUUAUUUUUUAAAAAACUUAGACCGUUGGAUAUUUAAAAAAAAAAAAAUUAACGACCGUUCCAAGCAACGGCUAUUUUGAUUUUUUUUUUCCCCUUCUAUAAAUACCACUCUUCCACUCUUUCAAAUUCACCAAUAUCUUCAACUACAAUUCUCUCUUCUACAUUUUCAAAGAUGGAUCGUGAAUUCGAUGAAUACCUCGAGCAACAAGGCGGAUCGAGGCUUCCAAUGAUGGGGUUUGCUCCAUUUUCACAAGCUUCCAAUGUCUUGGCUACGGGAAAUGUUCCCACGCCGGCGGCGAACGCCAACGUCCAAGAAGAGCCGGAGGAGGUGAAGCCGAAAGCCAAGGGCACCCGNCAAUCCUAAUUGAAUUCUUAGAUCCGUCCCUGCUUUUCUUGAUUUUUCGAUCAAUGUGGUGCUUUGUUUCAUAGAUUCAAACAGAAGUGAAGCAUUGAAUUGGGAGAAGAGAUUGCAAAUAAUUAUAGGAAUAGCAGAGGGAUUGGUGUACCUCCAUGAGAAAGCACACACAAAAAUCAUCCACAGAGACAUAAAAGCGAGCAAUAUACUAUUAGAUUCCAAAUUAUAUGCUAAAAUCGCAGAUUUUGGGCUGGUUAGAUCUUUCAAUGAAGAUAAAAGCCACAUCAGCACCGCCAUUGC